rnacentral:rRNA from 1 species
UACGGAGGGUGCAAGCGUUUAUCCGGAUUCACUGGGUUUAAAGGGUGCGUAGGUGGGUCUGUAAGUCCGUGGUGAAAUCUCCGAGCUUAACUUGGAAACUGCCAUGGAUACUAUAGAUCUUGAAUACUGUGGAGGCUAGCGGAAUAUGUCAUGUAGCGGUGAAAUGCUUAGAUAUGACAUAGAACACCAAUUGCGAAGGCAGCUGGCUACACAAAUAUUGACACUGAGGCACGAAAGCGUGGGGAUCAAACAGG